rnacentral:rRNA from 1 species
GGUUAAGCGACUAAGCGUACACGGUGGAUGCCCUGGCAGUCAGAGGCGAUGAAGGACGUGCUAAUCUGCGAAAAGCGUCGGUAAGGUGAUAUGAACCGUUAUAACCGGCGAUGUCCGAAUGGGGAAACCCAGUGUGAUUCGUCACACUAUCGUUAACUGAAUACAUAGGUUAACGAGGCGAACCGGGGGAACUGAAACAUCUAAGUACCCCGAGGAAAAGAAAUCAACCGAGAUUCCCCCAGUAGCGGCGAGCGAACGGGGAGCAGCCCAGAGUCUGAAUCAGCUUGUGUGUUAGUGGAACGGUCUGGAAAGUCCGACGGUACAGGGUGAUAGUCCCGUACACCAAAAUGCACAGGUUGUGAACUCGAAGAGUAGGGCGGGACACGUGGUAUCCUGUCUGAAUAUGGGGGGACCAUCCUCCAAGGCUAAAUACUCCUGACUGACCGAUAGUGAACCAGUACCGUGAGGGAAAGGCGAAAAGAACCCCGGCGAGGGGAGUGAAAAAGAACCUGAAACCGUGUACGUACAAGCAGUGGGAGCACCUUCGGGUGUGACUGCGUACCUUUUGUAUAAUGGGUCAGCGACUUAUAUUCUGUAGCAAGGUUAACCGUAUAGGGGAGCCGCAGGGAAACCGAGUCUUAACUGGGCGUUAAGUUGCAGGGUAUAGACCCGAAACCCGGUGAUCUAGCCAUGGGCAGGUUGAAGGUUGGGUAACACUAACUGGAGGACCGAACCGACUAAUGUUGAAAAAUUAGCGGAUGACUUGUGGCUGGGGGUGAAAGGCCAAUCAAACCGGGAGAUAGCUGGUUCUCCCCGAAAGCUAUUUAGGUAGCGCCUCGUGAAUUCAUCUUCGGGGGUAGAGCACUGUUUCGGCUAGGGGGUCAUCCCGACUUACCAACCCGAUGCAAACUACGAAUACCGAAGAAUGUUAUCACGGGAGACACACGGCGGGUGCUAACGUCCGUCGUGAAGAGGGAAACAACCCAGACCGCCAGCUAAGGUCCCAAAGUCAUGGUUAAGUGGGAAACGAUGUGGGAAGGCACAGACAGCCAGGAUGUUGGCUUAGAAGCAGCCAUCAUUUAAAGAAAGCGUAAUAGCUCACUGGUCGAGUCGGCCUGCGCGGAAGAUGUAACGGGGCUAAACCAUGCACCGAAGCUGCGGCAGCGACACUAUGUGUUGUUGGGUAGGGGAGCGUUCUGUAAGCCUGCGAAGGUGACCUGUGAGGGUUGCUGGAGGUAUCAGAAGUGCGAAUGCUGACAUAAGUAACGAUAAAGCGGGUGAAAAGCCCGCUCGCCGGAAGACCAAGGGUUCCUGUCCAACGUUAAUCGGGGCAGGGUGAGUCGACCCCUAAGGCGAGGCCGAAAGGCGUAGUCGAUGGGAAACAGGUUAAUAUUCCUGUACUUGGUGUUACUGCGAAGGGGGGACGGAGAAGGCUAUGUUAGCCGGGCGACGGUUGUCCCGGUUUAAGCAUGUAGGCUGGUUAUCCAGGCAAAUCCGGAUAAUCAAGGCUGAGGUGUGAUGACGAGGCACUACGGUGCUGAAGUAACAAAUGCCCUGCUUCCAGGAAAAGCCUCUAAGCAUCAGGUAACAUUAAAUCGUACCCCAAACCGACACAGGUGGUCAGGUAGAGAAUACCAAGGCGCUUGAGAGAACUCGGGUGAAGGAACUAGGCAAAAUGGUGCCGUAACUUCGGGAGAAGGCACGCUGGUGUGUAGGUGAAGUCCCUGCGGAUGGAGCUGAGACCAGUCGAAGAUACCAGCUGGCUGCAACUGUUUAUUAAAAACACAGCACUGUGCAAACACGAAAGUGGACGUAUACGGUGUGACGCCUGCCCGGUGCCGGAAGGUUAAUUGAUGGGGUUAUCCGUAAGGAGAAGCUCUUGAUCGAAGCCCCGGUAAACGGCGGCCGUAACUAUAACGGUCCUAAGGUAGCGAAAUUCCUUGUCGGGUAAGUUCCGACCUGCACGAAUGGCGUAAUGAUGGCCAGGCUGUCUCCACCCGAGACUCAGUGAAAUUGAACUCGCUGUGAAGAUGCAGUGUACCCGCGGCAAGACGGAAAGACCCCGUGAACCUUUACUAUAGCUUGACACUGAACAUUGAGCCUUGAUGUGUAGGAUAGGUGGGAGGCUUUGAAGCGUGGACGCCAGUCUGCGUGGAGCCAACCUUGAAAUACCACCCUUUAAUGUUUGAUGUUCUAACGUUGGCCCCUUACCGGGGUUGCGGACAGUGUCUGGUGGGUAGUUUGACUGGGGCGGUCUCCUCCCAAAGCGUAACGGAGGAGCACGAAGGUUAGCUAAUCCUGGUCGGACAUCAGGAGGUUAGUGCAAUGGCAUAAGCUAGCUUGACUGCGAGCGUGACGGCGCGAGCAGGUGCGAAAGCAGGUCAUAGUGAUCCGGUGGUUCUGAAUGGAAGGGCCAUCGCUCAACGGAUAAAAGGUACUCCGGGGAUAACAGGCUGAUACCGCCCAAGAGUUCAUAUCGACGGCGGUGUUUGGCACCUCGAUGUCGGCUCAUCACAUCCUGGGGCUGAAGUAGGUCCCAAGGGUAUGGCUGUUCGCCAUUUAAAGUGGUACGCGAGCUGGGUUUAGAACGUCGUGAGACAGUUCGGUCCCUAUCUGCCGUGGGCGCUGGAGAAUUGAGGGGGGCUGCUCCUAGUACGAGAGGACCGGAGUGGACGCAUCACUGGUGUUCGGGUUGUCAUGCCAAUGGCACUGCCCGGUAGCUAAAUGCGGAAGAGAUAAGUGCUGAAAGCAUCUAAGCACGAAACUUGCCCCGAGAUGAGUUCUCCCUGAGACUUUAAGUCUCCUGAAGGAACGUUAAAGACGAUGACGUUGAUAGGCCGGGUGUGUAAGCGCAGCGAUGCGUUGAGCUAACCGGUACUAAUGAACCGUGAGGCUUAACCUU